rnacentral:rRNA from 1 species
AUUUCUGACGCUAAGACGCGAAAGCUAGGGUAGCAAACGGGAUUAGAGACCCCGGUAGUCCUAGCCGUAAACGAUGUGGACUUGGCGUUGGCGGAGUUAAAUCUGCCAGUGCCGUAGCUAACGCGAUAAGCCCACCGCCUGGGGACUACGACCGCAAGGUUAAAACUCAAAGGAAUUGACGGGGACCCGCACAAGCAGCGGAGCGUGUGGUUUAAUUCGAUGCUACACGAAGAACCUUACCAAGGUUUGACAUGUAAGUGGUAGUGAUCUGAAAAGUGAACGACCCUUCGGGGAGCUUACACAGGUGCUGCAUGGCUGUCGUCAGCUCGUGUCGUGAGAUGUUCGGUUAAGUCCGCUAACGAGCGCAACCCUCACUGUGUGUUACAAGUGUCACACGGGACUGCCGGUUUUAAGCCGGAGGAAGGCGAGGAUGACGUCAAGUCAGCAUGGCCUUUAUAUCUUGGGCUACACACACGCUACAAUGGUCUGUACAAUAGGUUGCCAAGCCGCGAGGCGGAGCCAAUCCUAAAAGCAGGCCUCAGUUCAGAUUGCAGGCUGCAACCCGCCUGCAUGAAGAUGGAGUUGCUAGUAACCGCAGGUCAGCUAUACUGCGGUGAAUACGUUCCCGGGUCUUGUACACACCGCCCGUCACGUCAUGGAAGCUGGCAACACCUGAAGCCGGUAUCCUAACCGCAAGGAGGGAGCCGUCGAGGGUGGGGUUGGUGACUGGGACGAAGUCGUAACAAGGUAGGUGUACCGGAAGGUGC